rnacentral:rRNA from 1 species
GUAACACGUAUCCAACCUGCCGAUGACUCGGGGAUAGCCUUUCGAAAGAAAGAUUAAUACCCGAUGGCAUAGUUCUUCCGCAUGGUAGAACUAUUAAAGGAUUUCGGUCAUCGAUGGGGAUGCGUUCCAUUAGGUUGUUGGCGGGGUAACGGCCCACCAAGCCUUCGAUGGAUAGGGGUUCUGAGAGGAAGGUCCCCCACAUUGGAACUGAGACACGGUCCAAACUCCUACGGGAGGCAGCAUG